rnacentral:lncRNA from 1 species
UUCAGAUUUCGUAAAUAAAAAGAUAAUUUCUUCAAACAUUUUUUUGAGAGGAUAUUCAACAGCAUAGUGAAUUGCUGAAAGGCAAAAAAACAAAUUUUAAGUUUAUUAGACCACAUUCAGUCUGUGUCAGAACCCUAUGCUGUGUCAACUAUUUAAUCACAAUCCAAAUUUAGAGCUGAAUCCAGCUUGAAUGUUGUGUCCAUACUUG